GAUGAAGAACGUAGCGAAAUGCGAUACGUAAUGUGAAUUGCAGAAUUCAGUGAAUCAUCGAAUCUUUGAACGCAUAUUGCGCUCUCUGGUAUUCCGGAGAGCAUGCUUGUUUGAGUAUCAGUAAACACCUCAACUUCCAUAUCUUUUUUGAAAUGGGAGUUGGACUUGAGUGAUCCCAACGCUUUUCCUCACCGAAAAGUGGCGGGUUACUUGAAAUGCAGGUGCAGCUGGACUUUUCUCUGAGCUAUAAGCAUAUCUAUUUAGUCUGCCUAAAAAACAGAUUAUUACCUUUGCUGCAGCUAACAUAAAGGAGAUUAGUUCUUGUGCUGACUGAUGCAGGAUUCACAAAGACGGCUUCGGCCGACUUUGUAAACUCGAUCUCAAAUCAAGUAAGACUACCCGCUGAACUUAAGCAUAUCAAUAAGCGUAGGA
rnacentral:misc_RNA from 1 species